rnacentral:rRNA from 1 species
ACGGAAGGCAGCAGUGGGGAAUAUUGCACAAUGGGCGAAAGCCUGAUGCAGCGACGCCGCGUGAGUGAAGAAGUAUCUCGGUAUGUAAAGCUCUAUCAGCAGGGAAGAAAGUGACGGUACCUGACUAAGAAGCCCCGGCUAACUACGUGCCAGCAGCCGCGGUAAUACGUAGGGGGCAAGCGUUAUCCGGAUUUACUGGGUGUAAAGGGAGCGUAGACGGUUUGGCAAGUCUGAAGUGAAAUGCGGGGGCUCAACUCCUGAACUGCUUUGGAAACUGUCGAACUAGAGUGCAGGAGAGGUAAGUGGAAUUCCUAGUGUAGCGGUGAAAUGCGUAGAUAUUAGGAGGAACACCAGUGGCGAAGGCGGCUUACUGGACUGUAACUGACGUUGAGGCUCGAAAGCGUGGGGAGCAAACAGGAUUAGAUACCCUGGUA